UACGGGGGGGGUAAGCGUUGUUCGGAAUUACUGGGCGUAAAGGGCUCGUAGGCGGCCAACUAAGUCAGACGUGAAAUCCCUCAGCUUAACUGGGGAACUGCGUCUGAUACUGGAUGGCUUGGAUUCGGGAGAGGAAUGCGGAAUUCCAGGUGUAGCGGUGAAAUGCGUAGAUAUCAGGAAGAACACCCGUGGCGAAAGCGGCUCUCUGGGACGGUACUGACGCUGAGACGCGAAAGCGUGGGGAGCGAACAGG
rnacentral:rRNA from 1 species